GGUGGAGCGUCAACCAGCCACGGCGCUUCCGCUGGACCACCCGGACGCAGUGGAAGGGUCCUCGCGGAGGGGGUCCUGCAAUCGCAGGAAGAAAUCAUCAGGGGGAUCGCGGGGAUCAACGAGCAGCUGGACCGGCUCGUAAAUGUCCUCGAGCGUCUGGUGGCGAAAAUAAAUUUCACUUCUUACCCAUUCACACUGUGGGGAUGAGAUUCUCCUGCGCGAGGACGGCGGCCCGGCAGGGAUCAGCUCGCAUCCCUCCGUCUGCUGCUGGUUCGUCAUGUGGGGCGACGUGCUGCUCGGCCACGGGGAUGUGGUGCACGCUUGUCACAUAGUGAGUCACCAAACACCGCCACACAGCGUCGCCAAAGUGCGAAUCACAGUCAACGCAAGUAUCGGCUCAACGCCAAUUUCUACACCACCUCCUGACUUUGCGUUGAUUAGCGCUGGAACCGACGCUCGUUUCGCGAUGAUAAAUCUGGACGUGUGCGCUGAUUUUGGCGUACGCAAGGUUUUCUUGCGCCGCAAGCGUUGAUACAUGAGACCCCAGAACAGCUUUUACAACCAUGACAUCCUAUAAAAAUAAAUGAUGCUUUCAGAGAUUUUUAUUUAAAAAAUUAUAUGGUACAACUAACACUAUUAAUAUACAAAAUAUGAAUAGAUUUUUGGAUGAAUUACCUAUUCCUUGCACCCCAGAUGAAUAUAAAGAAGACUUAGAUACAGAUAUCACCAAAGAAGAAAUCAGUAACGCCAUAGAUAAUUUGAAAUCAGGAAAAAGAGUAGGACCAGGCGGUCUCCCAUUUGACUUGUACAAAAAAUUCAAAAACACACUACUAGCACCACUCUUAGAAAUGUUUCUUGAAGCAUCUCAGACUGGCAGUCUUCCAUCCUCAAUGAAUAAUGCUCUAACUACUUUACUGCCAAAACCAGGCAAAACCCUUAAUAAGUGCGAGAAUUUGAGACCAAUAAGCCUGCUAAAUUUGGACCUUAAAAUAAUAUGUAAGCUUCUAGCAAUUAGAUUACAGAGAAUUCUGCCAAAAAUUGUAAACAAGGACCAAAAUGGAUUCAUAUCAGAAAGACAAGGUUUCCAUAAUGUCAGAAGAAUAUUGAAUAUCAUUCACUGUAAUUAAGAUCAACCAGAUACAGCCCUAUUAGCGUUGGAUGCCAAAAAGGCCUUUAAUAGGGUCAAAUGGCCUUAUCUUUUCAAUGUUUUAGAAAGAUUUGGUUGUGGAGAUAUCUUUAUUCAAUGGGUGCAGGCCAUAUACAAUAACUCUACAGCAGAAAUUCUAAUGAACCAAAAUAUUUCAAAAUCAAUAGAUAUUAACAAAGAAUGCCGACAGGGCUGCCCUCUUUUGCCUUUGUUAUUCACAUUAGCAAUAGAACCGUUUGCUAUAGAAGUACGUUCUCAUCCACAGUUUUGCAGACUUACAGUAGGACCAGUAGAGCACAGAAUUGCCCUGUAAUGCAGACAAUGUAAUUUUACUUCCAGUCCAGCUUACUCCAAAUUGGAGUAAAUUGAGAUAAUUUACUCCAAUUUGGGGUAAUCAGUUUUUGUACCAGGAAGGGGAGAUGCAACAUUUAAAUUAUGGUUAACUAAGGGACUUGAAACGAUUCAAGAUCUGUACACAACAAACUCAGACAUGAUGUCCUUUGAUGAACUAAGAGCUAAAUAUCACCUCAAUAGAAAACAUUUCUUUAAGUACCUUUAGCUUAGAAAUCAUGUUAAAACAGACCAAAACAAUGUACUUUCUAAACCUUGUCGCACAGAACUAGAAAAAAUUGUAACAAAGAAUUGUCUAAGAAAGGAUGCAAUAUAAGAACUCUACGACUAGUGAUGGGAAGAACAGUUCCUUUGACUGUACUGAAUCUUUAGAAUCCUUUCAUUAAAACGAUUCGAUCAACGAGUCGUUCACUGACUCAGUCAGUGUGCCCCGUCCUGCCGGUGCAUUACACGAGUGAGUGACACAGCCGCAAGUCUGUUCAUUCAACGAGCCCCUCCCUUCCCCUGCUGCUGAAGUCACAGCGUCGUUCACUGGGUGACACGUGGUUUAUUCGCAAAGUCCUGAAGUAAGAGUCACUCCCCUGCCCUGAAAACUCAAAACAAAUGAACAUCGCAGCUGUAGCGGGGAUUCUGCUACAUUUAAAGAUAUCAAAUAGCAUAUUGCUUUAAAUUGGCUGAAAUUAAAUCCUUCUUGCAGGAAAGUUUAUACACGUCUAUUAAUGUAAAGGCACUAUAAUGACCUGUUUUAUCCAUAGACUGUAUAUAAGAUGGACGCCGUCUGUCUCCUCGCCGGGUGAAGCCACUCCGAGAACAGCACCCCCUAGAGCCUGGCUGCAGUACAAGUCAUAAACCCCACUUCUGCCAGCAAAGUGAAUGGAGCGGCGGACGGCCUUUAGAAAUUAAUUUCACAGAAAAUACACUUUUCUCACCCCCGACUGCGAUGUUGACAUGUAGUUAUUAUUAGACUGGUUUGUGUUCAGGUCUUUUUUUCUCUCUGCAGCUCCAUUUUAAAAAGUUAUAAGGAGUUAUAAAAACAGGAAAUUGCGUCAUUCUCUACACUUUGCACUUGCUGCUUGUGCAUCGCUCUUUUUUGUCCAUCGUCAAGACCGAUCGGGUUUGCCAGCGGAGAAGAGGAUUACAUUUUUCCAUCGUUUUUCUCUUUUAUUGCAUUGGGAAAAUGAGUUGUUCUGCAGUAAACUGUGUUAACCGACAUGUGAAAUCGGGAACUUUGCAGUUGUUUCGGUAAGUUGUGUUUUUUUUAUGAAGUCAUCAGCUUGCUAGCUACAUAACAUUAAACGGUCUGGUUUAAUUUAGCUAAUGGGGUUUACUUACAGAUACCAAGCGGUAAGUUCUGUGCAGCUAAUAAGCGUUUUUAUUAGAAGUUAAACAAUGAGGAAACCCCUUAAAAUCCGCCUUCUUUUUAUAACAAUAUUAUGACUACGUGACUUUGAAUUUGAAUUAAAAACCGUACCGAUCACACAGAUUCAUACUAGCAACCAAAUACUACCACAGAGUAUCAGGGCAUGAAAUGAAAACUCGAGGCAUGAAGUCAUAAUGUUAAAGGAAUUAAUUCGCAUUUAAGUCAUUCCCCUAAUAUUGCAUCACUUUAUGAGAACAAGGCCAUGUAAAUGAAUAUAAUGAGAGUCAUGAUGUUAUGAGUCGAAGUUUUGGUAAUGGAUCAACCAGUUUUACUCGGGUAUGUUACAACGAGAGCAGCCUGCGCUAAAAUCAGGUAUGGUUUAAUUAAAAGGCAUCUUUCGGAUGCACCGUCCUAGCUUUCUGGCAGAGGAUUGACCGCCGGUUCAGUCUCCUCCGUACAGCGGCAGUAGUAUUACAGCUUCUGGUGACAUACGAUAUUUGUCUAAGAUAAAGCUCUGAAACUGUCUUUAAUGGGACAAAACGUCGAGAAAACGAGACCCUAUAAGUGUAUAGAAGGACAUGCUCAAAAGAUUACUUAUACAAGUUGCAUAACUGUUAUUUAUUUUAUGCUAUCAAAUAACAUACAUAAGUCAUAAGUAUACUUAUGUGGAAUGACAAUUAUCAUUUACAGCAGCAUGGUAGAUCAUGUCUUACUUAAGUUUUCAAGAUAGAUAGAUAGAUAGAUAGAUAGAUAGCCCUGUUACUUAUGAGAUUGAGAUAAAACUAUGUUUAAUGUAAUUAGUUAUGGAAAGACAGCUGCAUAUGACACACUUAAUCAAUCACAAUGACAUUAAAAUUUUUGUUACAUGCAAAGAAAUCCCUCAAUUUUGAUAGGAUGUUCAUAAGACAUAUCACUCACAAGAUGAAAUGAUUUAGAUUAUUUAUACAGUUUGUAUAUUCAUUCACUUGAGGUAUUUUUUGUGAUUGUCUUUGAAUUGAGUUUUGGCUUCAGCCUGUUAUGCAACAAAGCAAGAAUUAAACUGAACGCAAAACAUUAACUUUGUGUUGUUUACAAACUUGACAAAUGGCAGUAAGCAAUGUUAUUGUAUUUUUGUAAAGUUUUCCUUUAGGUGACAAAGCGAGGCUGAAGCAGUGGCUGGUGAACACAAGACGGCAGGACUGGAAACCAACAGGAUCAUCACGUCUUUGCAGUGCUCAUUUUGAAGAGCAUGCCUUUACUGUGGACUCAAAGGUUAAAUUAUUUCCUUUUUACUGGACAGCAAUUUUUAUGAAGUUCACAUUUGCAACAAUUUAUUGUCAAAUUGACUAACACUUUGAAUCAUAAAAUGGCGGUUAUUUAAACAUUCCCAAGAGCUGAACACUACAACUAUCGUGGUUCCAUUUUAAAUUACUGCUGUUUUUAUGUUUUCUAAAAUUAGGUAUUUGCAUGUAGUUGUAGUGUCAUUAUUAGUUAGUGUCAUCAGUCAUUUUCAGUUUAAGUUGGCGCAGCCUGGAGUAAAAAAAAACAGGAAUCAUGUUGCAAAAAAAAUUUGAGUGAUACCACAUGAACAACUUCUUUUGCUUAGACCAAAUGUGCCCUGUUAGAUAAAGGUAACAGCACUAGCCAAGUAGUAGUCUCUAAGAAUGCUAACUAAAUGAAACCUUUUAAAUAAUUGGACUAGUAUAUCAAAACCUCUAAAGUUUUCAUGCUGAGCUACCACCUGGUUUGAGACAUAAGUGUCUUAAUGAAUUUAAGUACUGGUAUUCACAAUUUAAUUGAUGAAUUUCUUUGUGUUUUUCAGACUUCAUCACCAACCACUGAUGAUAUGGUGGAUUCAUCUGCUGCAGCCUGUUUCCUUUCCACCCAAUGCAACUCCCAAAGUACUAGAUUACAUCUUUUUAAGUUCCUGGUAAAAUAACAAACAUACAGGUUUUCUGCAAAGGAGUUAAGUAUUUAUAAAUCACAAAUAAAUACUAAAAUGCUAGUGUCCUCUCACAAGUGUCCAUGUCAUGCUAUCUGAUUUACAUGCUGUUCACUACACAUAUUGUCAGUUUGUUUUUUCAGUUUUACCACACUUUGUCCACUUCAUGGUGAGGACUCGCACACAGAAAAAUGGAAAAGACAAAUGUCUUGAAAAGUUGGAUCCAUUUUAUUGCUAGGAAUAAAAUGGAUCCAACUUUUUUUGAGACAUUUGUCUUUUCCAUCUUUCUGUGUGUUCGUCCUUUACAGCCUUUUUGAAUAGUCUUAUCUGACCAUUGCACCAGAAGCAAGAAUACUAGGACUGAUGUUAAGCUCUUUUCUUGUUAAUCACUUGAUGAUGAGUACAUAAGAAAUGCAUUGACUUUGUUAUGGUAUGUUUUUUUCUUUUGAUAGCUUUACAUGAAAAAUAAAAAUUUGAGACAAAUUCUCUGGAAUAAUAAAGCAUAUACUGUGUUUUUUCAUCUGUGCUGUAAAUCAGAAAACUUUAUCAUGGUACAACAAAUCACAGAAAAGCAUGUGAAGUUUCAACAUUAAUUUAAUUUUUCUAACAAUAAAAAACAUCCCCAGCUACAUUCGUCGUGGGGAAAACGCCUUGAGGAAGACCAUCGGGUGGAAUGGCUGGGGUACGGCAGAAAGUUUGUAGGACAGAGAGAGAGAGAGAAGGAGGAAGAGCUGUGACAGAAUUGAACAAUGUGAUGGUUACCUUUGUAAAACAAAAUCCACAAAAUUGUGCUCGAGUAAACAAUUAAACAAAAUGUGCACAUCAAUCACAAACUAGGGCCCCGUUGGGGCACUGGCGGGCCCGAGCCGUGUCACGCCGCCCCCAGCACGACCGCCUCCCCCACCCGAUCGCGUCACACUCAAGGUCCAAAGAUGGUGUGCGCACUUGUUUGUGGUCAUUUACCAUUAUAAUGAACGGGAGGCGCAGUUUCUACCAAAACGCUCGCUGCAGAAAAACUCCAUGUCCUAUUUGAAAAAAGUCUGGACCAUGA